rnacentral:ncRNA from 1 species
AAAAAACAUUUGAUAUGGAUUAGUAACACCAAAAUUUCUAGUUAAGUGAACGAUAGAUAGUGUAAACAUCGUCUAGAAAUUGUGUGAAUGGACCAUUGAUGUGAAAAGAGGAAAUGCUUUUCCGAUUCAGCCGCGUUAAGGCUAUCGAGGAUAUAAAAUGAUAUUUUAUAUUAAAAAAAGGUGGUACCACGAAACUUCGUCCUUUAC